CCUACGGGAGGCAGCAGUGGGGAAUAUUGCACAAUGGGGGAAACCCUGAUGCAGCGACGCCGCGUGAGUGAAGAAGGAAUUCGUUAUGUAAAGCUCUAUCAGCAGGGAAGAAAAUGACGGUACCUGAGUAAGAAGCCACGGCUAACUACGGGCCAGCAGCCGCGGGAAUACGUAGGGGGCAAGCGUUAUCCGGAUUUACUGGGUGUAAAGGGAGCGUAGACGGCAGUGCAAGUCUGGAGUGAAAGGCGGGGGCUCAACCCCCGGACUGCUCUGGAAACUGUACGGCUGGAGUGCAGGAGAGGUAAGUGGAAUUCCUAGUGUAGCGGUGAAAUGCGUAGAUAUUGGGUAGAACACCGGUGGCGAAGGCGGCUAUCUGGCCAUUUACUGACGCUGAGGCUCGAAAGCAUGGGGAUCAAACAGGAUUAGAUACCCCGGUAGUC
rnacentral:rRNA from 1 species